rnacentral:rRNA from 1 species
AACGAACGCUGGCGGCAGGCUUAACACAUGCAAGUCGAACGGGUGUAGCAAUACAUCAGUGGCAGACGGGUGAGUAACACGUGGGAACCUUCCUCGUUGUACGGGACAACUCAGGGAAACUUGAGCUAAUACCGUAUACGUCCGAGAGGAGAAAGAUUUAUCGCAAUGAGACGGGCCCGCGUCGGAUUAGCUAGUUGGUGGGGUAACGGCCUACCAAGGCGACGAUCCGUAGCUGAUCNGAGAGGAUGA